rnacentral:tRNA from 1 species
GCCCCAGUAGCUCAGUGGACAGAGCAGAGGUUUCCUAAACCUUGUGCCGCAGGUUCGAUUCCUGCCUGGGGUA